GGCGAACGCUGGCGGCGUGCUUAACACAUGCAAGUCGAACGGAAAGGCCCUGCUUUUGUGGGGUGCUCGAGUGGCGAACGGGUGAGUAACACGUGAGUAACCUGCCCUUGACUUUGGUAUAACUUCAGGAAACUGGGGCUAAUACCGGAUAGGAGCUCCUGCUGCUUGGUGGGGGUUGGAAAGUUUCGGCGGUUGGGGAUGGACUCGCGGCUUAUCAGCUUGUUGGUGGGGUAGUGGCGUACCAAGGCUUUGACGGGUAGCCGGCCUGAGAGGGUGACCGGCCACAUUGGGACUGAGAGACGGCCCAGACUCCUACGGGAGGCAGAAGUGGGGAAAAUGGCAGAAUGGGCGGAAGACUGAUGCAGCAACGCCGCGUGCGGGAUGACGGCCUUCGGGGUGUAAACCGCUUUCGCCUGUGACGAAGCGUGAGUGACGGUAAUGGGUAAAGAAGCACCGGCUAAAUACGUG
rnacentral:rRNA from 1 species